GACGAACGCUGGCGGCGUGCUUAACACAUGCAAGUCGAACGGAAAGGCCCUGCUUUUGUGGGGUGCUCGAGUGGCGAACGGGUGAGUAACACGUGAGUAACCUGCACUUGACUUUGGGAUAACUUCAGGAAACUGGGGCUAAUACCGGAUAGGAGCUCCUGCUGCAUGGUGGGGGUUGGAAAGUUUCGGCGGUUGGGGAUGGACUCGCGGCUUAUCAGCUUGUUGGUGGGGUAGUGGAUUACCAAGGCUUUGACGGGUAGCCGGCCUGGGAGGGUGACCGGCCACAUUGGGACUGAGAGACGGCGCAGACGCGUACGGGAGGCAGCGGUGGAGAAUAUUGCACAGUGGGCGGAAGCCUGAUACAGCAACGCCGCGUUCGGGAUGACGGCCUUCGAGUUGUAAACCACUUUCGCCUGUGACGAGGCGUGAGUGACGGUAAUGGGUAAAGAAGCACCGGCUAACUACGUG
rnacentral:rRNA from 1 species